UUUCUACGAUAAUCUAAUUUAGAAAUUUUCCUUCUCUUCUUUGCCCAGAUCAUCAUGGUAUCAGAGCUUAGGAUAAGUUUGAUCGAUUAUUGUUCUUCAUUUUCUUGACUAAUUGAUUUCAUCUUUUCUGGGUUUAUUCAUGCUAUUGUUGUUGUUUCUAGCCAUCGUUUUUUUGAAAUUGUGAGAUGUCAAUAAAUUCAUCUUCCUCUCCCGGAAGCACACUAAAUUCGUCCAUGAUGCAGCUGAAAAUUUCUUCUCAUGAUCAACCUAACAUGACCCUUAUUCGUCUUCAACUCACGGAGACAAAUUAUUUGAUUUGGAGCACAUUUGUGUUGAGAGCUCUUUCAGCAAAAUGAUUUAAAAAGAUUUUUGACCGGAGAGAUCAAGCGAUCUAAAGAUACAAUAGAUGCCUUAGAAUGGAAAAAAAAAUGAUGAUAUAGUACUCGGCUAGCUAUUGAAUUCAAUCGCUCCACAAAUCACAAUUGCAUUUAGUCUCAUCAAGACAAGUCACGAACUAUGGCAGAAACUAAGUUGGCUAUAUCAAGGUAAUCUUUCUAUGGUUGCAUAUUUUAAUAAAAUUUAGGUUUGAAAGAUUAAUUGUCUUGCAUAGCACCUGUGCCUAUUGACAGAAAUGAAGUUGAUUUCUACCUCCAAAACUUAGAUACAAUUGAUUAUUUCAUGGGUUUAAAUGAUAGUUUUUAUGCCAUAAGAAAUCAAAUAUUGAUGAUGGAUCAUUUGCCUGAUGUGAACAAAGUAUAUAGUAUACUUUCAACUGUUGAAAAACAGCAAGAGGUAUACAAUAUGUUAAAGGAUCUUUCACCCACUGUGUUGCUUGCUAACUCUAGAACAUUUGAAAUGUUGAUAAAAGAACAACAGAAAGAAGAUUCGAUAGAAUAGAGAAAAUAAAUUUGAUUUUGUGAUCACUGCAAGAGACGUGGACAUGCCAAAGCUUAAUGUUUCAAACUUCACGUUUAUCCUAAUUGAAAUAAGGAAAACUAUAUAAGAAAAUGAGAGAGAAUGGACAAUGUCAAUCAACUAAGACUACAUUUCAAGUUGGUGAAGAUACUACAUUGGUUGUUUCUUUAUAAUAUUGGGUUCAACUCUCACAGUUCAGGCUCUUUAUCAUCCAGUGAAGCCUUAAGUGAUCUGAUAUAAAGAGAGAUUACGAAAGCUCUUGAAUGUUAAAGGUAUUGUUUAUAUAAAUGCAUAUAAUAAAGUGAAUACAUUUAAAGGUUGGAUUCUUGACAAUAGGGCUACAUGCCAUGUAGCCAAUGACAUGAAGCUAUUUGAUUGUUUGAUACCGUUUGGUAGCCCUAUUAAAGUUUUCAUGCCCAAUAGAACAGUGUAGUUAGAAAAAUAGACAUGCACAGUGAGUUUGAGUGAAAAUAUUACUCUACUUGAUGUCUAUUUUCUUUCUACUUUCAAAUAUUGCUUGGCACCUAUAUGCAGACUUUGCUUGUCACCUGGCUUAUCUGUGAUUUUUAAGAAUAAUCAGUGCUUGAUUCAGGACCAUGAUCAUCAAGUACUUGGAAAAUAAGUGUUUAAAGAUCAGUUGUUCUAUCUAGAGGGCUACAAUAAUCGAAUAUGUGAUGUAAAGCUGGAUACUCCUUGGCAUCAGGGAUUAGGACAUCCAUCUAAUUUGGUACCACAUAAACUUACGUCUAACUCUUUUUUUAGAAUAAGGAUGUUGAAUAUGCUUCUUUACCUUGUGAUGCUUGUCAUUCAACUAAAAUGACACAUUUACCUUUUGGUUUGAGUGUUAAUAAAGUUUAUUAUUCUUUUGUUCUAUUGUAUCUCGAUAUUUGGGCCCCUUAUCCACUUACCAUAUACAUGUGGAGCAAAGUAUUUUCUUACCAUUGUAGAUGACUAUAGCAUAAGUACCUGAAUUUUCUUGUUGCAACUUAAAUCUUAGGUCUUGAAUGUCUUUUUUGUGUUCAUCAGAUUAGUUCAUACUUAGUUUAAUUUCAAAAUGAAGAAUGUGAGAACAGACUUUGAAGGUUAGUUUACUUCCUUGGCAUUCAAGAAUCUGUUAGAAGAUAAUGGAGUUGGUCACUUCAAGUCUUGCCCUUACACUCCACAGCAGAAUGAUAGAUUGGAGAGGAAACAUCAGCACUUAAUCUCAAUUGCUAAGACAUUGCAGGUUUCUUCACCCUUGGCUGCUGAAUCUUCCUCUCCUAUAACUACAGCAACGGAUUUACCCCUACGCCAGAUGCUGAAUUUUCUUUUCCUACUAUUAUAGCAGUUGAACUAUCAUCUACGCCACCAACUACACAACCCCACAGGGAGAUAAUACUCAGUGGAUACAAGCUAUGCAAGAGGAACUUGAUACCCUUGAGAAGAACUAUACAUGGGAUGUACAUGCACG